UACGUAGGGGGCAAGCGUUGUCCGGAUUUAUUGGGCGUAAAGAGCGUGUAGGCGGUUUGGUAGGUCCGCUGUGAAAACUCGAGCUCAACCUCGAGACGCCGGUGGAAACCAUCAGACUAGAGUCCGGAAGAGGAGAGUGGAAUUCCUGGUGUAGCGGUGAAAUGCGCAGAUAUCAGGAGGAACACCGGUGGCGAAGGCGGUGUCUGG
rnacentral:rRNA from 1 species